GCUCUUCCCUGGCAGAGGAGACACCAUGACCAGGCAGGUGGUUUUCCCAGGGCAAGGCUCCUGCUUUGCACUCCAGGUGUGCUGACCCCUGCGGUUUCCUCAAAUGCAGAAUUUGUGGUAGUGGGGGACUGUGUCAUGACAAGAACUGGGUUUCACAGCCCCUG